ensembl:lncRNA
GUGUAGGUGUGUGUGUGUGUGUAGGUGUGUGUCUGUGUGUGUGUGUGUGUGUAAGUGUAGGUGUGUGUGUGUGUGUGUGUGUGUGUGUGUGUGUGUGUGUGUGUGUGUGUGUGUGUGUGUGUGUGUGUAUCACUGCAGCAGAGAUAAAAAGAAAGGCAGGGGAGGGGCCAGGAGGUGUGUGUGUGUGUGUGUGUGUGUGUGUGUGUGUGUAUUACUGCAGAGAUAAACAGAAAGGCAGGGGAGGGGCCAGGAGGUGUGUGUGUGUGUGUGUGUGUGUGUGUGUGUGUGUGUGUGUGUGUGUGUGUGUGUGUGUAUUACUGCAGAGAUAAACAGAAAGGCAGGGG